rnacentral:tRNA from 1 species
GGCGCUGUAGCAUAGUGGGUAAAGCUGCUGUCUGUAGUGCCAGCAUCCCAUAUGGGCACUGGUUCAAGUCCAGGCUGCUCCA